rnacentral:rRNA from 1 species
GAUGAACGCUGGCGGCGUGCCUAAUACAUGCAAGUCGAGCGAACAGACGAGGAGCUUGCUCCUCUGACGUUAGCGGCGGACGGGUGAGUAACACGUGGAUAACCUACCUAUAAGACUGGGAUAACUUCGGGAAACCGGAGCUAAUACCGGAUAAUAUAUUGAACCGCAUGGUUCAAUAGUGAAAGACGGUUUUGCUGUCACUUAUAGAUGGAUCCGCGCCGCAUUAGCUAGUUGGUAAGGUAACGGCUUACCAAGGCAACGAUGCGUAGCCGACCUGAGAGGGUGAUCGGCCACACUGGAACUUAGACACGGUCCAGACUCCUACGGGAGGCAACAGUAGGGAAUCUUCCGCAAUGGGCGAAAGCCUGACGGAGCAACGCCGCGUGAGUGAUGAAGGUCUUCGGAUCGUAAAACUCUGUUAUUAGGGAAGAACAAAUGUGUAAGUAACUAUGCACGUCUUGACGGUACCUAAUCAGAAAGCCACGGCUAACUACGUG